UGGCUGUGUGUCUGUGCCCUCACCUGCCCUGGCAUGCCAGUCCUGGCUGAGUGGGGCUGGCCUACCCUGGCCCCAGCAUGGAGGUGGCAGAGGGCGGGCCCACAGGUAUCCUGGGGCAGUAGUACGGGCUCCUGGAUGUUCCCAGGGUGGAUGAUUCAGUUACUGGAAUCCACGGUGCCUAAGCUCACCCUAGGGGUUGUGUGGCUGAUGCCACAUGGUGAGCCGCAGCUUGGCUUCUCAGGCCAAGUUGGGGUUCAGUGUCUGCAGCUUCAGCUUCUCCUACUACCUCGGCCUCCCCGCCGUUCAGCCCUGUGGAGGCCUCUGCAGGAAGGAGGCCGGGUAGUGAGGGAGCUCCUCGCUGGGCCCGUGUGGCUGACUAGACAGAGUGGUGUUUGUUCCGGGAACCAGCCGUUUGGAGACCCAUUUGCCGGAUCCCCAUAGGCUAGUGGGGCGUCAGUAAUGAUAAUGAGGUGCCAAGGCCCUGAGCUGCUGGCAUUCCAAGUCCAUUCUAAGAUGCCGUAGAGCUGUGGGCUUUAUUUGUCCUUUUCUUUGGGGGUUUGAGUAGCCAUUGUGCCCAGCACACCUCCAAACCGGUUUUGGCAUUGAAGGAUCAUUUUAUAGUGAAGGCUUACAGCAGUUGUAUCUGCCUUUCUGACAUUGUCUUGUCACAUCUGUUGCUGAAUUACCGACUAAGACGUUCCUAUUGAAAACACCAUCUCCUUUGUAAUGGUAUACUUUCAGACAGUGACUGGGAGCACAUUCCUCUAAAGCUUGGCUGUCCUCAGAAGGCUCUCCAGAAAGUUAAUGAACUCAGUUUGCAUAUGAGCCUUGGGCAAGUGGCUAUUUGCAAGGCUGUGUCUAACAGAGGCCUGUGGUUCAUGCUGCCAGUGCUGAGUGGCCAUGAAUGGUCACGAUUGGGUGGCUACCUGCUUGUUCCUUUGCUUGGGCUGGAUUAUACAUCUCCCCUCCCAUGUAUAUACAUACUGUUCUCUGUUGUCUCUUCUCUUUUGGAAGCCACAUUCUACUCGUUGUUAGGAUUGGCUCUGUGCUCCGGGAGCUGGACCCAGGAGUGAGUCCUAAUAUUGAUGGCUGGCUAUCUUAAAAAAAAAAUCCUAUAUAAUAAAAGCCUAAUAUGCUAAGUGUCCGGUCGGCCAUUUAGUCAAUCAAAAUGUAAUAUGCUAAUAAUAUGCUAAGGCUGCUCAGCUGCUUGCUAUGAUGUGCACUGACCACCAGGGGGUAGGUGCUCAGGUAGGUUAGCUUGCUCUGGGGUCUGGUCAAUCGGGACUGAGCAAGAUGGGCGGACAUGCCCUGGAGCCCUUCCGUGGUCUCUCCCCAGCUGACCAACCUCCCGUGUCCCUCCCCAGCCCCGAUCGUGCACCGGUGGGGUCCCUUGGCCUCACUUGCACCCUCUCACAAUCCAGGACCCCUCAGGGAUGUUGGAGAGCCGGUUUCGGCCUGAUCCUGCAGGCCAGGCCGAGGGACGCCACUGUGCACGAAUUUGUGCACGGGGCUUCUAAUGUAUAUGUAUAUGUGUGUAUAUAUGUGUGUGUGUAUAUAUAUAUUUUUUUAAUUUCUGGGAGGUGUCUGGGCACCAACCCUAAAGGGGUGACUGUCUUCUUAAUGUGCAGAGCAGACUGCGUUAAUCAGAUAGAAUUUUCUUAACCGUAAGGUCUUCUUGUACAGGGCUAACUUAAAAUUGGACAUCUGUUGCUACAGUCUAGUGUAAAGUGUCGUCUACUUUUGUUGCCUUGUUUUUCUUGAGUUAGCAUUUCAGACAGUUCCUCACAGUGACACCAAACUCAGGUCUGGCUGCCUGCCACUUUGAAAGCCAGUACUCAAGAGACAGGGGCUGAUGUAAGGAAAGAUGGUCUAUUCAAGUGCCAGCAGCCUCAGAAGAUGGUGACUCCCGUCCCAAAGACCAUCUUAACAUCUCAGUGUAGGCUUGGGUUUUUAUUAGGAGGGAGAGGAGGAAAAGAAAGAAAUCAGGGGCAUUCAGAGUUCUCUUCAUGUAAGUCAGCACAGUCCAGUCUAAUGAUUAUCUUAAAACUGGUUGAGCAGAAGUCAGGUAUGUAUGUAUGUAUUUAGUUAUUUAGUUAUUUAUUUGAGGCCCAAUGCAUGAAUCCAUGCAUGGGUGGGGUCCCUCGGGGUGGCCUGUGGGGAUUGGGCCCUAGCUUGUGCCCCCAGCCUUGCAGCCCUGCAGCCCCGCCUGGAACCCCACCGUGGCCUGGCGCUGCCCCCUCACCUGCUCUACCAUUCCACCGCGGUCCCACUGUUAUUGGGGCCCAUUGAAGCUGGCAGCGCCUUUGCUGCUGUCCAUUGCCAGCGCCAUGUCGCCAACAUCCGCCAUGUUUUAUGCUGCCCCCUGGUGGUCAGCGCAUGUCAUAGCGAGCAGUCAAACUCCUGGUCCAACGACUGCCCAAGGGGACAAUUUGCACAUUAGGCUUUUAUUAUAUAGGAUUUAUUUAUUUAUUCUUAAUCUUCAUUCGAGGAUAUUUUUCCAUUGAUUUUAGGGAGAGUGGAAGUGAGAGGGAAAGACAGAGAGAAAUAUUGAUGUGAGAGAACUACAUCGCUUGGUUGCCUCCUGUGCGAGCCCUGAUCAGGGCCUGGGCCAGGGAGGAGCCUGCAACCGAGGUACGUGCCCUUGACUGGAAUUGAGCCCGGGACCCUUUGGUCUGCAAGCCGACGCUCUACCUACUGAGCCAAACUGGUCAGGGCAAGGUCCCGUUUUUAUGGUUGAGAGUCAGCAAGUGUCCUGGAGCCAGAAUGUCUGGUUGCUGGAGCUGCUUUCUGAACUCUGACACAAAUAUGCUGCUUAGCCAUGGGCUACAUAUCAGUUAACAAUUCCUCUUCUGUAAAAACACUUUUAAUAUUGAACAGUAUUAACAGAAGAGAAGGGUGGGUUACACAGAACAUAAGGUCCUGGGGUGCCUCUACCAGAAGGAGUUUGAGAAUCACUGCUUUGGUGGCCUCCAGUGGUCCCUGCUCCCCAGAAGACUUGGCAUAGUUCGUUCCCUGCUUUGCACAGUGGCUAUUAGUUGGGUAACAUUACUUUCUUUUUAAAUUCAUUUCAGAGAGAGAGAGAGAGAGAAAGAGAGAGAUCGAUUAGUUGUUUCCACUAAAAGGAUUAGAAGAAAUAUUUUAAUAUCGCUAUUCGCCCUUUCUCUAUAAUAGGAGUGUCAACCAAAUUCACGAUUGACAAUGACAGAUAGAAACACACACGUGCAAUUGGCGCCAACGAGAGCUUUAUGUAUUGCACAUGUGUGAGUCAACUUAGCCUUUUAUAUAUAUAGAUACACUUGCUUAAUUAGACCUGCCUUCUGAUGUAGCUAAACUUUUUCCAGCCCAGUGAAGCACCCCAGCUUCUCUUUCAGGUAAUUGUCAGCAACACAGCAGUAAAUAUCAGCAUGAAGCAGAUUAUUAUUGUAGAUCACACAGGGAGAACAAAGGGUAAAAUAUUGAACUGCAGCAGUGUUUGACUAUAUUCUGUGCAGUGAGAAAACCUGAAGUCAUUUUCAAGGUCCACCAUUUCUUCUUUUCAGUCGGGUCAAGUUUCUAAGCUUUCUAAAUCUCCGUUUUCUGGCCAAUGAAAAGAAAA